CUCGCAAGCUGCAACACAGGUGGUUUGUUUGGUUCAUAUACAAUUAUACUCCAUCUAUCCUUGCCAUUGGCGAGCUCUCUAGUCCUUUAAAGCUGGGGGCACACAUUUCCAUAUUAGGUGUUUUUCUCUACUGGAAUUGCAUUGGGUGGAAGAGAAGUAGAAAAUUUACGGUCUUUAUAUCAUUUCCCAUUUCUUUAUCACUUGUACAGUAUUUUUGUACACCUUUCCUUAAGGUCAUUUUCUUCUGGUGAACCUAUUUGCCUCAAUAGCAGGUAUCCCUACUGUGUUUGGAUAUUGGCAUUUGGCAUAGAGCUUCAAUUAUUUUAUGAUGAAAGUCAUUUUGGAAAUGUCCGGAUAAGAAUUAAUAUUGUGCUUGGAGCUGUCAUGUAUGUCGGCAAUAAUUUCAUCACUUCAUUGUCAACAUGAAAACCAUAAAUGAAGACAGAAAGAUUUGCAUGUUGGUGACUGCUGCCAGAGGAGAAGGUAGGUUCAGUUUUGAAAACGGGAUGAAAACGAAACACCAAAAAGACUCGUCUCCUUUAGACAACACAAGCGUUGGCUUUGGGCUGUCAUAGGAUGAAAUGAAUCAAAUAUCAGUUUAUAUUAUCCAAUAAAAAGUUGAAGUUUUAGA